rnacentral:rRNA from 1 species
AGGAACACGUACGCAACAUACCCUUCUCUGGGGCAUAGCCCGAAGGAAUUCGGAUUAACACCCCAUAAGAUCGUAGAGUGGCAUCACUUAGCGAUUAAAAAUUUAUUGGAGAGGGAUUGGCGUGCGUCCUAUUAGCUAGUUGGUGCGGGUAAUGGCCCACCAAGGCGACGAUAGGUAGCUGGUGUGAGAGCACGACCAGCCACACGGGCACUGAGACACGGGCCCG